rnacentral:rRNA from 1 species
ACUCCUACGGGAGGCAGCAGUGGGGAAUAUUGCACGAAUCGGGCGCAAGCCUGAUGCAGCCAUGCCGCGUGUAUGAAGAAGGCCGUUCGGGUUGUAAAGUACUUUCAGGCAGUGAGGAAGGCGGGUACGUUAAUAGCGUGCUCGUUUUGACGUUAGCUGCAGAAGAAGCACCGGCUAACUCCGUGCCAGCAGCCGCGGUAAUACGGAGGGUGCGAGCGUUAAUCGGAAUUACUGGGCGU